UACGUAGGGUGCAAGCGUUAAUCGGAAUUACUGGGCGUAAAGCGUACGCAGGCGGCUUUGCAAGACAGGUGUGAAAUCCCCGGGCCUAACCCUGGGAACUGCAUUUGUGACUGCAUGGCUAGAGUUUUGUCAGAGGGGGGGGUGGAAUUCCACGUGUAGCAGUGAAAUGCGUAGAUAUGUGGAGGAACACCGAUGGCGAAGGCAGCCCCCUGGGAUGUGACUGACGCUCAUGUACGAAAGCGUGGGGAGCAAACAGG
rnacentral:rRNA from 1 species